rnacentral:rRNA from 1 species
UGGCGGCCGCCUACCAUGACAGUCGUACGGUAACAGGAAGAAGCUUGCUUCUUUGCUGACGAGUGGCGGACGGGUGAGUAAUGUCUGGGAAACUGCCUGAUGGAGGGGGAUAACUACUGGAAACGGUAGCUAAUACCGCAUAACGUCGCAAGACCAAAGAGGGGGACCUUCGGGCCUCUUGCCAUCGGAUGUGCCCAGAUGGGAUUAGCUAGUAGGUGGGGUAAAGGCUCACCUAGGCGACGAUCCCUAGCUGGUCUGAGAGGAUGACCAGCCACACGGGAACUGAGACACGGUCCAGACUCCUACGGGAGGCAGCAGUGGGGAAUAUUGCACAAUGGGCGCAAGCCUGAUGCAGCCAUGCCGCGUGUAUGAAGAAGGCCUUCGGGUUGUAAAGUACUUUCAGCGGGGAGGAAGGGAGUAAAGUUAAUACCUUUGCUCAUUGACGUUACCCGCAGAAGAAGCACCGGCUAACUCCGUGCCAGCAGCCGCGGUAAUACGGAGGGUGCAAGCGUUAAUCGGAAUUACUGGGCGUAAAGCGCACGCAGGCGGUUUGUUAAGUCAGAUGUGAAAUCCCCGGGCUCAACCUGGGAACUGCAUCUGAUACUGGCAAGCUUGAGUCUCGUAGAGGGGGGGUAGAAUUCCAGGUGUAGCGGUGAAAUGCGUAGAGAUCUGGAGGAAUACCGGUGGCGAAGGCGGCCCCCUGGACGAAGACUGACGUCCAGGUGCGAAAGCGUGGGGAGCAAACAGGAUUAGAUACCCUGGUAGUCCACGCCGUAAACGAUGUCGACUUUGGAGGUUGUGCCCUUGAGGCGUGGCUUCCGGAGCUAACGCGUUAAGUCGACCGCCUGGGGGAGUACGGCCGCAAGGUUAAAACUCAAAUGAAUUGACGGGGGCCCGCACAAGCGGUGGAGCAUGGUGGUUUAAUUCGAUGCAACGCGAAGAACCUUACCUGGUCUUGACUCCACAGAACUUUCAAAAAAAUGGAUUGGUGCCUUCGGGAACUGUGAGACAGGUGCUGCAUGGCUGUCGUCAGCUCGUGUUGUGAAAUGUUUGGGGUUAAGUCCCGCAACGAGCGCAACCCUUAUCCUUUGUUGCCAGCGGUCCGGCCGGGAACUCAAAGGAAACUGCCAUGUUAAAUUGAGGAAAAGGGGGGGGGAUGAAAUUCAAUUCUUCAUGGGCCUUUUAACCAGGGGUACAACCUGGUUCAAUGGGGCCUCCAAAGAAAAGCGACUUCCGGAAACAACGGACCCCUAAAAGGGUCCGAUUCCCGGAUGGAAUUCGCACUCACUCCUAAAU